CUAAGGAAAAAGGUUGAAAAUUCACAGAUUAUUUAGUUUUGAGUGUUUAAGUAUUAAUUUUACGUAAGUAAAAUUAUAUACUACCUUAUUUAUUUUAAAUAUUAGGUAGCAAAUACUUUUAAAUGCUAAAAAUUUUCCGGUGACGAUGCGUUUAGGGGAAACACCCGUUCCCAUACCGAACACGAUGGUUAAGACUUAAACGGCUGAUGAUACUUGGCGGGGGACUGCCUGGGAAAGUAAGUGGUUGCCGGAUUAAAUAUGGGCUUAUAGCUCAGCUGGUUAGAGCGCACGCCUGAUAAGCGUGAGGUCGAUGGUUCGAGUCCAUUUAAGCCCACUGAUAAGAAAUUUAAUAUGGGGGUGUAGCUCAGUUGGGAGAGCACUUGCCUUGCAAGCAAGGGGUCACGAGUUCGAAUCUCGUCAUCUCCACUAGGUAACGAAAGUUACCAGUUAUAUAAACUAUGAAAAAUUGUACUUUGAAAACUGAAUAGAAAACACAACGCGAUAUUAAAAAAUMUCGUGAGCCAGAUAGUAUAUGUUUAAAUAUAUACAAAGAUUAAGAGGUAAAGUAAACAAAAAGAUUUAAACAAUAUCUUAAAUGACAAAU
rnacentral:misc_RNA from 1 species